UGGGGAAUCUUCCGCAAUGGACGAAAGUCUGACGGAGCAACGCCGCGUGAGUGAUGACGGCCUUCGGGUUGUAAAGCUCUGUUAAUCGGGACGAAUGGUUCUUGUGCAAAUAGUGCGAGGAUUUGACGGUACCGGAAUAGAAAGCCACGGCUAACUACGUGCCAGCAGCCGCGGUAAUACGUAGGUGGCAAGCGUUGUCCGGAAUUAUUGGGCGUAAAGCGCGCGCAGGCGGAUUGGUCAGUCUGUCUUAAAAGUUCGGGGCUUAACCCCGUGAUGGGAUGGAAACUGCCAAUCUAGAGUAUCGGAGAGGCAAGUGGAAUUCCUAGUGUAGCGGUGAAAUGCGUAGAUAUUAGGAAGAACACCAGUGGCGAAGGCGACUUUCUGGACGAAAACUGACGCUGAGGCGCGAAAGCCAGGGGAGCGAACGGG
rnacentral:rRNA from 1 species